AGAGUUUGAUCCUGGCUCAGAACGUACGCUGGCGGCACGCCUAACACAUGCAAGUCGAACGAAGUAGCAAUACUUAGUGGCAGACGGGUGAGUAACAUGUAGGUAUCUGCCCUUUGGCCUGGAAUAACACGAGGAAACUUGUGCUAAUACCGGAUAAGUCUUUACGGAGAAAGCUUUAUGCACCAUUGGAUGAGCCUGCACUUGAUUAGUUUGUUGGUGGGGUAACGGCCUACCAAGACUGUGAUCAAUAGCUGAUUUGAGAGGAUGAUCAGCCACAUUGGGACUGAGACACGGCCCAAACUCCUACGGGAGGCAGCAGUGGGGAAUCUUGCACAAUGGAGGAAACUCUGAUGCAGCGAUGCCGCGUGAGUGAAGAAGGCCUUUGGGUUGUAAAGCUCUUUCGUCGGGGAAGAAAAUGACUGUACCCGAAUAAGAAGGUCCGGCUAACUUCGUGCCAGCAGCCGCGGUAAUACGAAGGGACCUAGCGUAGUUCGGAAUUACUGGGCUUAAAGAGUUCGUAGGUGGUUGAAAAAGUUGGUGGUGAAAUCCCAGAGCUUAGCUCUGGAACUGCCAUCAAAACUUUUCAGCUAGAGUAUGAUAGAGGAAAGCAGAAUUUCUAGUGUAGAGGUGAAAUUCGUAGAUAUUAGAAAGAAUACCAAUUGCGAAGGCAGCUUUCUGGAUCAUUACUGACACUGAGGAACGAAAGCAUGGGUAGCGAAGAGGAUUAGAUACCCUCGUAGUCCAUGCCGUAAACGAUGUGUGUUAGACGUUGGAAAUUUAUUUUCAGUGUCGCAGCGAAAGCGAUAAACACACCGCCUGGGGAGUACGACCGCAAGGUUAAAACUCAAAUGAAUUGACGGGGACCCGCACAAGUAGUGGAGCAUGUGGUUUAAUUCGAAGAUACGCGCAGAACCUUACCAACACUUGACAUGUUCGUCGCGACUUUAAGAGAUUAAAGUUUUCGGUUCGGCCGGACGAAACACAGGUGCUGCAUGGCUGUCGUCAGCUCGUGUCGUGAGAUGUUGGGUUAAGUCCCGCAACGAGCGCAACCCUCACUUUUAGUUGCCAUCAUUAAGUUGGGCACUCUGAAAGAACUGCCAGUGAUAAGCUGGAGGAAGGUGGGGAUGACGUCAAGUCCUCAUGGCCCUUACGUGUUGGGCUACACACGUGCUACAAUGGUAUCUACAACAGGAAGCAAAACGGCGACGUUAAGCAAAUCCUCAAAAGAUACCUCAGUUCGGAUUGCACUCUGCAACUCGAGUGCAUGAAGCUGGAAUUACUAGUAAUCGUGGAUCAGCGUGCCACGGUGAAUGCGUUCCCGGGUCUUGUACACACCGCCCGUCACACCAUGGGAGUUGGUUCUACCUUAAGGCAAGGUUUUAAACCCUUGACCACGGUAUAGUCAGCGACUGGGGUGAAGUCGUAACAAGGUAACC
rnacentral:rRNA from 1 species